rnacentral:rRNA from 1 species
AUUGAACGCUGGCGGCAGGCCUAACACAUGCAAGUCGAGCGGAUGAAGGGAGCUUGCUCCUGGCUUCAGCGGCGGACGGGUGAGUAAUGCCUAGGAAUCUGCCUGGUAGUGGGGGAUAACGUCCGGAAACGGGCGCUAAUACCGCAUACGUCCUGAGGGAGAAAGUGGGGGAUCUUCGGACCUCACGCUAUCAGAUGAGCCUAGGUCGGAUUAGCUAGUUGGUGGGGUAAAGGCCUACCAAGGCGACGAUCCGUAACUGGUCUGAGAGGAUGAUCAGUCACACUGGAACUGAGACACGGUCCAGACUCCUACGGGAGGCAGCAGUGGGGAAUAUUGGACGAUGGGCGAAAGCCUGAUCCAGCCAUGCCGCGUGUGUGAAGAAGGUCUUCGGAUUGUAAAGCACUUUAAGUUGGGAGGAAGGGCAGUAAGUUAAUACCUUGCUGUUUUGACGUUACCAACAGAAUAAGCACCGGCUAACUUCGUG